rnacentral:rRNA from 1 species
CCUACGGGAGGCAGCAGUGAGGAAUAUUGGUCAAUGGCCGGAAGGCUGAACCAGCCAUGCCGCGUGAGGGUCAGUGCCCUAUGGGCGUUACACUUCUGUGGUGCGGGAGCAAUAAUGGGCACGAGUGGCCAGACGAGAGUAACGUACGAAUAAGAAACGGAUAACCACGGGCCAGAAGAGGGGGGAAGACGGGGGAUGAAAGCGGUAUCCCGACUUAUUGGGUUUAAAGGGUGCGUAGGCUGUGAGGUAAGUCAGCGGUGAAAUGCCCCCGCUCAACGGGGUGAAGUGCCAUUGAUACUGCCUUGCUGGAAUGCGGAUGCCGUGGGAGGCAUGUGUGGUGUAGCGGUGAAAUGCAU